rnacentral:rRNA from 1 species
GACGAACGCUGGCGGCGUGCUUAACACAUGCAAGUCGAACGGUGAUUCUCCAGCUUGCUGGAGUGGAUCAGUUGCGAACGGGUGAGUAACACGUGAGCAACCUGCCCCAGACUCUGGAAUAAGCUCUUGAAACGGCGUCUAAUACUGGAUACGAAACUGCCCCGCAUGGUCAUGGUUUGGUAAGUUUUUCGGUUUGGGAUGGGCUCGCGGCCUAUCAGCUUGUUGGUGAGGUAAUGGCUCACCAAGGCGACGACGGGUAGCCGGCCUGAGCGGGCGACCGGCCAAACUGGGACGGAGACACGGCACAGACUCCUACGGGAGGCAGCAGUGGGGAAUAUUGCACAAGGGGCGAAAGCAUGAUGCAGCGAAGCAGCGUGAGGGAUGACGGCCUGCGGGUUGUAAACCACUUUCAGCAGGGAAGAAGCGAAAGUGACGGUACCUGCAGAAGAAGCACCGGCUAACUACGUG